UACGGAGGGAGCGAGCGUUGUCCGAAGUUACUGGGCGUAAAGCGCGCGUAGGCGGGAAAUUAAGUGAGAAGUGAAAGGCUGGGGCUUAACCCCAUGCAGUGCUCCUCAUACUGGUUUUCUUGAGGGUGGUAGAGAGAAGUGGAAUGGCUGGUGUAGCGGUGAAAUGCGUAGAUAUUGGGAGGAACACCAGUGGCGAAGGCGGCUCACUGGACCGGUACUGACGCUGAUGCGCGAAAGCGUGGGGAGCAAACGGG
rnacentral:rRNA from 1 species